GUAGUUUGGCAAUAAAUGUAUAAGUUCAACAUGUGAUGAAGAAUGUAGCUAAAUGCAAUAAUAUUUGUGAAAUGCAGAAUCCCGUGAAUCAAUUCNGUUUGAAUGUGUCUUGCAUCUUUGGGAUAUGCUUGAAGAUAUGUGUGAUUCAAUGUCAAAUGU
rnacentral:rRNA from 1 species